rnacentral:lncRNA from 1 species
GUGCAAGCCCUUCAGUAGUUAGCACUUCUUGCACCAAGGUAACCAUUGUGGUUGCAUAUCAGGCAUGGUAUCUGUCCCUACUUGAGUUUUUAAAUUAUUUCCUGACCUCCAAGAUGGAAACAUUUUGUCCAUCAAAUUUGAGGUCAAAAUCAAGAAUUGUUUUCCUUUACUUGGUUUCUCCCCAUUCCAUUGCCUCCCAUGUUACUUGUCUUGCUGACAUUGAUGAACACAGCUACAUAAAGCCACUAGGAUGCUUUGCUUCUGAAAACCUACUUAGGAAUUUUAGGUAACAUUUAGCUGUGAAUUACGGAAAUAUCUAAGCACAUUAGCCAAUAUUAUACAAUAGUUAACUAGACCUGUAUUAUUUUGCUUUCCAAGAGAUUGAUUUUUGAAUGUCCAUGCUUGUAAUUGACUUUAAAUGCAGAACCCAUUUCCUUUUGCUUGAGAUUCUUUGAAAUAAGGGGAAAUAUUGCAAAGUUAUCUGUUGAGGUUUUGGAAGUUUUAAUAUCUGUCCUCCCCUCUGGGUUCUAACCAUAUUGAAAAUAGACAGAAGAAACCACCAGUUGAAUGUGUGACUUUUGCUAGUAAAGCUGAAUUGGGAGCCCCAGAGUGUCUACCUCCAAUUUAUUUCCCCUCAGUGUAGGCCUUGACUGAUAGCAGCCAGUCACUUGAAGGCAGUGAUUCUACCGUCCACUCCUCCAUGAGCUUAAAAGAGACUGGUUUGGUCUCUUAACAGAGAAAUGGAGCAUCCUUCACAACUAUCCCAGGAUGUGACACAGGAAGAGGUGGAAAAAGAGUUUGUUCCCUUAUGCCAUACUAAUAAAGGUUAGUUCAAUUCUAGGUUGCCCUCUAUCAUUAGAACAGUAGCAAAAUUUGAGGUUCUCCCCUGCUUUAGCCUUUUUAAAUUGUGUCCAUCUACCCCCUAUUGAUUUUACCACUCUCUUGAAGUGGUAGUUGUAACAGAUUUUCAAAGGUUUAGUUGCUAUUUCCCCUAAGGCAGCACACUUUAGUUGGUCUUCAGAAAAAAAAAUUUUUUUUGAAGGGGCAAAUAUACAGCUAUGCAAAGAUGAAGGCUUGCAAGUUAUUUUUAUUGCAUGCUUUUGUUACAAAAGUUGGGGGGAAAAAAGAGAUCUUUCACAAUGCCACCUUCUUUAUUCAAGAAAUUGUUCUUUUUCAAUCUUAGUCAUCUUUUAUCCGAUUUGUAACCUCAGCGUUGAUUCCAUUCUGUGUUUGACGAUUUUCUUUUCAACAUUAAGUGUAUUACCAAAUCUAUUGGUUGCCUUUAAACAUUUCUUUGAAACACAUAUUCUUUUGGGGAGAAUAUGGAAAAUUCAGAAGAAUACAAAGAAGAAAGUAAAAUACUUUCCCCCUUAAUCCCAUUACCUGGAACAUUACUAUCCUUUAAAAAAUGUCUUAACUGAGUUUUAAAUUUUUACUUAUCUAUUUUUGGUACUGGGGAUUGAACCUAGGUGUGCUUUUGCCACUGAGCUACACCUUAGCCCUUUUUAUUAUUUUGAGAACAGGGUCUUGCUAAGUUGCUAAAGCUGGCCUCAAACUUGUGAUCUUCCUGCCUCAGCCUCCUGAGUUGCUGGAAUUAUAGGCAUGCACCACUACACCCAGUGAGUUUUAAUUUUGUUAGAUUUUUAAAUUGCGGAAUAUGUGUUAUUAGAACAAAUGUUAUACAGUACAAAAUAGAUAUAAAGAAAAACUUAAUUAUUUCACCCCCAUACUUCCUCCAAGCUUAUUUUCUUGAGGUAAUCAUAGUUAACAGACUUGAAUCUUCCCUUCAUGCGCAUACAAACCUGUACAAAGAGACACCCCAAGAAAGGUUGAAUGAUUUUAACCUUUUGGUUAAAGCAUUUGGGUCUGAUGCCUCUUUGUAAAGAUGAGAUUAUUCAUCUUUACAAGUCACUUAAUAUGUUCAUUCCUCUGGGUCAGUAGGCCAAACUCAAUCUCAUUCUCUUCAGUAAGAGAAUAUAUGAACCUACCAUAAUUUAGCCAACCAGUACUCCUUUGGUGUACAUUUAGGUAGUUUUCAGUUUUCUGCCACUACAAGAAGGCAGGGAGUGACUAUUCUUGUACAUAUAAUCCUUGCGUAUUUGUGCUUUGAUUUCUAUAGAAUGGAUUCUGUCAGGAUGUGAUUACCAAAUGAAAGGUCAAGUACUAUUUUAAAAAUGUUAUUAGAUGUUACCAAAUUAUUUUCUGCUAAAUGUUAACUCCAGGAAUGCAGAGAUUUGUGUCUGUUCUUUUUGUUGCUGUUCACCUAGAAUAGAGAUAUGUGCUGAAGAUAAAUUUCUAGGAUAAAGUCAAUUCACACUCCUCCAGAAAUAUAUAGGAGGAUCCAUUCCUCUUGGCCUUACAGUGGGUGUUACAGCCGAUUUCACAGGUUAAACAAACAAUAUAUUGUCAUUGAAUUUGCUUUGACUGGACUUUGAGUACAGUUUAAUACUUUUAUAUAUCUGAUAGCCCUUUGUGUUGUCUCUGAGAAAUUGCCUGUUCAAAUCCUGUACUCCAUUUUCUAUUUGGAAUCUUUUGUAAGGCCUUUCUAAUAUAUUUGCUGCACAUUUUUAUAGUCUGAUUUAUCUUGUUACUGUUUAUAUAAUCUUUUGAUAUAUAAAAUCUUUAAUAUUGGUAUGUUAAAAUGUUUAUAUUUUUCCUUUAUAACUCUUGUCCUGCUUAAAAAGAUCGUCUCU